GGUAGCGUGGCCAAGUGGUCUACAGCGCUGGAUUCAGGCUCCAGUCUCUUUGGGGGUGUGGGUUCAAAUCCCACUGCUGCCU